rnacentral:rRNA from 1 species
GUGCCAGCAGCCGCGGUAAUACGAAGGGGGCUAGCGUUGUUCGGAAUUACUGGGCGUAAAGCGCGCGCAGGCGGCCUUUCAAGUCAGGGGUGAAAGCCCGGAGCUCAACUCCGGAAUUGCCUUUGAAACUGUCAGGCUCGAGUACGGGAGAGGUGAGUGGAAUUCCCAGUGUAGAGGUGAAAUUCGUAGAUAUUGGGAAGAACACCGGUGGCGAAGGCGGCUCACUGGCCCGUUUCUGACGCUCAGGCGCGACAGCGUGGGGAUCAAACAGGAUUAGAUACCCUGGUAGUCC